UACAUUGGUGUACAGUCAUUUUGAUGGUUGUAAAUUUAUUUAGCACACUCAUUUUUAUGUAUUUUUAGACUGUUUACUUUUUAACUCCUGUCCCAAUCUAACCUAGUGGGUUCAAAAAGAAGGUACCGCGCUGGAAACAUUAGUGGAUUAAAAAGAUCAGUCCUUUUUGAAUUAAUAGUCGAAGUGGUUACCAGCUAGAAGUUGUAACCUGCUCGUAUGAAAGAAUUUCUCGACGUGAAAUUGUUAAUUUUAUUCAACAACGCCAAGAAACAGAGCUCGCUCAAGAAACAGAAAAGAA
rnacentral:lncRNA from 1 species